rnacentral:rRNA from 1 species
AUUGAACGCUGGCGGCAUGCCUUACACAUGCAAGUCGAACGGUAACAGGUCUUCGGAUGCUGACGAGUGGCGCACGGGUGCGUAAUACAUCGGAACGUGCCCGAUCGUGGGGGAUAACGAGGCGAAAGCUUUGCUAAUACCGCAUACGAUCUACGGAUGAAAGCGGGGGAUCUUCGGACCUCGCGCGGACGGAGCGGCCGAUGGCAGAUUAGGUAGUUGGUGGGAUAAAAGCUUACCAAGCCGACGAUCUGUAGCUGGUCUGAGAGGAUGAUCAGCCACACUGGGACUGAGACACGGCCCAGACUCCUACGGGAGGCAGCAGUGGGGAAUUUUGGACAAAGGGCGAAAGCCUGAUCCAGCCAUGCCGCGUGCAGGAUGAAGGCCUUUGGGUUGUAAACUGCUUUUGUACGGAACGAAAAGCCUCUUUCUAAUAAAGAGGGGUCAUGACGGUACCGUAAGAAUAAGCACCGGCUAACUACGUG